GCCCGAUGAACCUGUAUAUCUGAAWUGAGAAAUUCAAUACUAUUGUUGAUGAUAGGCAAAAAACAUACUAUUAUCAACUGGUAUGCACUUUUUUCAUAGUAAGACAUUGCGAUCCAUUAGUAGUUAAAUUAAAUUAUAAAAUUUAUCAAACGGACGUACCGUAUUGUUUAUUCUAUCUGUGGUAAUUUUUCCAAAUUAUCAUAUGAAUAAAUGCAAUUGCGUUUGUCCUGAUAAAUAGCUGAUGGAGCUUAAUAAUCAUACAACCAUAAAUAUGUAUCACGAUUUAUAUAUAGCAUUAUAUAUAAAUGCAGUGAUUGUAUGUAUUUGAUUAGCAAUGCGAUAGAUUUGGGAUACCUUCGGGACCCGUCUUGAAACACGGACCAAGAAGUCUAACAUGUGUGCAAGUCAUUGGGUAGAAAGAUAUUUUCGAAAUAUUUUUUAUUGUAUUGACAAAACCUAAGGGCGUAAUUAAAAUAACUAUAUUUGAAUGGGAUUACAAAUAAAAAAUGUAAAAAAUUUAUUUUUCCAUCCCGGGGCGUUCUAUAUUGAACAUGAUUUUAUUGUAAUAUAUUAAAUCCGCUGUUUAAGAGCGUACCUUGAGCAUACAUGCUGUGACCCGAAAGAUGGUGAACUAUACCUGAUCAGGUUGAAGUCAGGGGAAACCCUGAUGGAGGACUGAAGCAGUUCUGACGUGCAAAUCGAUUGUCAGAAUUGGGUAUAGGGGCGAAAGACCAAUCGAACCAUCUAGUAGCUGGUUCCCUCCGAAGUUUCCCUCAGGAUAGCUGGUGCAAUGAGAAAAAAAUUUUAUAUAUAAUCUUAUCUGGUAAAGCGAAUGAUUAGAGGCCUUGGGGCCGAAACGACCUCAACCUAUUCUCAAACUUUAAAUGGGUAAGAACCUCAUCUUUCUUGAUGUGAAGAUAUAGAGGUUAAGAUAUAUUGUGCCCAGUGGGCCACUUUUGGUAAGCAGAACUGGCGCUGUGGGAUGAACCAAACGUGAUGUUACGGCGCCAAAAUUAAUGACUCAUAUUGAUACCAUGAAAGGCGUUGGUUGCUUAAAACAGCAGGACGGUGGACAUGGAAGUCGUAAUCCGCUAAGGAGUGUGUAACAACUCACCUGCCGAAGCAACUAGCCCUUAAAAUGGAUGGCGCUCAAGUCAUAUGCCUAUACAUCACCGCUAGAAUAAAGCAAUAAAUUAUUAUUUUAUUGAUAAAAUUCUAGUGAGUAGGAGGGUACAAUGGUGUGCGCAGAAGUGUUUGGCGUGAGCCUGCAUGGAGCCGCCAUUGGCACAGAUCUUGGUGGUAGUAGCAAAUAAUCGAAUGAGAUCUUGGAGGACUGAAGUGGAGAAGGGUUUCGUGUGAACAGUGGUUGAUCACGAGUUAGUCGGUCCUAAGCUCUAUGCGAAAGCUGUUUAAUUUUAUGU
rnacentral:rRNA from 1 species